rnacentral:rRNA from 1 species
CGAAGUUAAGCAUCAUUGGGCGCGGUCAGUACUUGGGUGGGUGACCACCUGGGAACACAGCGUGCCGUU